CUGAUGCGCGUUUCCACUCACUGGCUGAAGACCGCCAUAAAAUCAGUGCACUGCGCUCUUUUCUUUCUUCAUUUGGUCACUUGUGAAUUGUGAUUCUGUGAAGGCCAGCAUCGUUGGCUGAAGAAGACGCAAAAAGUAGAAGCAAAAUUCUGACUCUUCUUGGGACUCGCAAGAACAAGAAUUGACACCAACUCCGGAUUAAAGGACGGUAUGAAUCUGUUUCUAGAAAUCUUGCGAUGCAUCCUUUGUUGCCAAGAAGAACGUGAUGAUGAUAAUGAAAAUUCUGGUGCAAACUACAGAAAUUGGCGAUACGAAUAUAUUCCAGUGAAUACAAACCCAUCAAAUUCUCCAAGAGCACGGGUGACUCUGAGUACUCCAUUUUAUCAACCAAAUGUUGGCGAUUCACCUACAUUCACUUAUAGACCAUCUCAAUCUUCAUAUAAACCACCCCAAUCUUCUUCUAGUCCGUCUCCUUCAACCUAUAUUUCUUCAACAUCUUCAUCUAAACUGUCUCCAUCUUUCCCCAAUGCUUUGUUACCUUCCUCCAAACCACCUCAGUCUAUAUCAAAACUGUCUCCAUCUUCAUCUAAUCUGCCUCCCUCUUCUUUUAGUCCAUCUUCUAAGUCAUCUGUAUCUUCCCCCAACAAACCAAAACCCCCACCAGGUUCUUCUCCAACUUACUCUAAACCACCUCAAUCUUCA